GGGUGAGUAAUAUAUCGGAACGUGCCCAGUCGUGGGGGAUAACGCAGCGAAAGCUGUGCUAAUACCGCAUACGAUCUCUGGAUGAAAGCGGGGGACUCGCAAGAGCCUCGCGCGAUUGGAGCGGCCGAUAUCAGAUUAGCUAGUUGGCGGGGUAAAAGCCCACCAAGGCGACGAUCUGUAGCUGGUCUGAGAGGACGACCAGCCACACUGGAACUGAGACACGGUCCAGACUCCUACGGGAGGCAGCAGUGGGGAAUUUUGGACAAUGGGCGAAAGCCUGAUCCAGCAAUGCCGCGUGCAGGAUGAAGGCCUUCGGGUUGUAAACUGCUUUUGUACGGAACGAAACGGUCUGCCUUAAUACGGUGGGCUAAUGACGGUACCGUAAGAAUAAGCACCGGCUAACUACGUGCCAGCAGCCGCGGUAAUACGUAGGGUGCGAGCGUUAAUCGGAAUUACUGGGCGUAAAGCGUGCGCAGGCGGUUAUAUAAGACAGAUGUGAAAUCCCCGGGCUCAACCUGGGACCUGCAUUUGUGACUGUAUAGCUAGAGUACGGUAGAGGGGGAUGGAAUUCCGCGUGUAGCAGUGAAAUGCGUAGAUAUGCGGAGGAACACCGAUGGCGAAGGCAAUCCCCUGGACCUGUACUGACGC
rnacentral:rRNA from 1 species